rnacentral:snRNA from 1 species
GUGCUUGCUUCGGCAGCACACUAAAAUUGGAAUGUACAGAAAAGAUUAGCAAGGAUGACACCCAAAUUUGUGAGUGUCCCAUAUUGUUU